rnacentral:piRNA from 1 species
UGGGAAACUUAAAGGCGGUUGGUGUGU